rnacentral:lncRNA from 1 species
AACUAUAUAUAUAAUUAACAAUAUUAGAACUUAACUCACACAUUUAAUCCAAAAAGAUUUAUAUAGAUACAUAGGGGUCGAUAAGGCCGUUGACAUGUCAUACCUAAAGCUAUACACAGGACACUGCCGGCAAAGCCUCUAAGAAAACAUGACCAUAACAUAUAAGAUGGGACAGGGUCCCCUACAUCCUCAUAAAACAAAGUAACAUACAUAGAACGUGACUCGGCAAUACUCCAGGAAGAUUUGGAGCUCACCAACCAAAAGCUGAUAUCUGGAGGCUGCCUACAGUGGAUGGUCCUCACCUCGCCUACCUACACCUGCGCGGCAUGAAACAUAGUGCCCCAGAAAAAAAGGCGUCAGUACAAAAAAUGUACCGAGUAUGUAAGGCAGCAAUGAAACGUAAUAAUAAUAAAAUAAUAUCUUGGGGAGAGAUAAGAGUCAACUUAUAACUUCUGACUUGUCGCUGAGGGCCAUAACAUGUAGAAUAAAUCCCAUCUCGUAUAUAUAAGUAAAAACUACAAUAUAAUAGUUCUAGUUACCUCAUUUUCAUGACUUUAACUGCCCAACUGAUCAGUGGUAACUACCCAACUAGCCGUAGCUUGGUGGUAAAUGCAUAACUGCCCAAUCGGUGGUAAAUAAUAAUACAUAACUGCCCAACCAGUGGUAACUGCCCGAUCGGCCGUAGCUCGGUGGUAGAUUUAUAACUGUCCAACCGACCGUAGCUCGGUGGUAAAUACGUAACUGCCCUACCUAAAUUACAAGUAUCUUUGCCUUGCACCAAAAACAUUUGUCGUGUAGAAUUUACUCAAAUCUAAUGGCAUUUCUCUUUUUGGUAAAGCAACGUUUUUAUGUAAUUUGACAGGAAAGUUCCUGGUACACUUAGAAAAUAAUAUAACAUAUACUUCUCUAUAAAUAUAACCUAAUCAUGUAUUCAUAAGAAAUUAACUAACAAGCCCUAUCUGUACUAAAAUCAUUUUCCAAAAUGCUAGUCAAUUUAGCAGCAACAUCGCCAAACCAAAGUCAUAUAUCCACACCCUCUUCUUUUAUUAUUCCUUUUCUUUUUUGAGUUAAAACCAAGACUAUAAAUAGUUUAUAUCUCUAGCUCAAAUUAAACUAAAUUUUUGCAUGAACCCCUGUAAGAAAGACAACAACAAGCACCAUAAAGGGUUUUGAGCAGAACGUUUCAGAAUCAUCACAAAUAAGACAUGUUUAACUGCUAAGAGUAGAAACACUUAUGAAAUAGCAUUACAUUUACGUAUCAUUACUUGGAUCAUGCCAAAAUGAAGGAAGGGCUUAACCUUAACAUACAUGGAGUAGUGAAAAAUCUGUAUAAUAUUCUUGGAAAGGAUUGCACCAUACUCUGUUAGAACCGUAAAAUUUUUACGUUGUUAAGCUUCCAAUAAUCCUCGUUGGAUUUUGGUUGAAAGAUGUUUUGUUGACAUCUUGCUAACAUUUCUGGGUGUAAGAACUUUGGUUGAAUGGCUAAAUUUGAUCUUGAUUGAAAGAAGUGUUUGUUGUAAAAAUGCUUAACAAUUUGAUGGCGUAGUCUUUUGUAUAGGAAAUGUAAGAAAUGAC